GAUACAGCUGGUGGAGGGGGAGAGGAAAGCAAUAUUUGAAGAUUGUGAACGAGAGAAAGAAGAAAAUAGAGAGAAAGUCAGGCAAUUAACUGAAGAUGUGAAGAGAAUGAAGUCUGAAGUGAAUAGAUCUGGGAAAAGUAGUGAAACUGUCAUGAAAAGUGCACAGGAUAGUCCAAACCUUGAUACAAGACUACUCAGUAAAAUGCCGCUUGAGACUGCUUUACAGACUUUAGACUUCAAGG